rnacentral:lncRNA from 1 species
AAAAAUUACGGUCAAUUAGAUUCCCUCUCUACUGUGUGUUUAGUCAUCUUGGCUUGGACUCCUCUUCUGGUUCUUAGCUAAUAAUUUCCGUUUCCUUAACUGAUCAAAGAAGACUAUUAGCUACUUGCACAACUGUAUUUCUAUUCUAUUUAGAGACAAGAAAGAAGACUUAAUACACUACAGCCUGCCGUUAAUUUUCAGGGAAUGUUAACUUUGAAGUGGGUGGGUCAGAAACGGAAAUUAUUAUCAUUAUUUGCAUUUUCUGGCCAUUUGCACCUUAAUCAAUCAUCUUUCUCAGAUCCACUAUGAUAAUUCAAAAUUUUAUUUUCAGAAGUGCAAACUUUAGCAAGGAAUGAAAUCUUCUACUUUCCUAAAAUCGAAAUUCUUUCCAUUUCUAGCACUUAAAAUAGUAGCCCCAUGUUAUCUCUAUUGGUUCUGAUAAAUGCAUUUUAUAUAUGUAUGGUGCAUGCUGUCACUUUUCAGAAACUUAACGAAUAAUAAUAAUUAUUAUUAUUGUUAUAACGAUACUUACCAAUUUUAGUUACCUAAAUAAAUUGGAUUCAGAUUCAGAUUUGAAACCUUGAUCUGAUCCACUAUGACACGAAAAGUUGUGUAAAUCCCAGCCAGCCACCUUCUUUAUCCAAAGUACAAACAAUAAAGCAAGAAACAACCACCUUUGCUUUGUUAUAAUUUAUUCUUAUGGCAAAGCUUAUGUUACAUUUGCUGUAACAAACAGUCAGUACAUUUGGGUGGUUGGAUUUUAAUAUUUUUCAAUCCAACGAAUGAAAAUAACUUUAACCUAAAACGAGGUAUGUGUGUAAUAGUUUUUUACAAAAAUUUUUAUUUUGAAUCACAUAUUUGUUUAUUUUUUCAAGUAAGUCCUCAUUAAUUUUGUAUAACUAAAUGACUUUGUUAACCAUCUCUUCUACAUUUAUUCUUAAAAAAAUUUAA